rnacentral:tRNA from 1 species
UUAAUUGAAACCAAAUAGAGGUAUAUUACUGUUAAUAAUAUCAUUGAGACCUAUCUCCAAUUAAAAAG